GGCCCUGUAGCUCAGCCUGGAUAGAGCGCUUGCCUUCUAAGUAAGAGGUCGCAGGUUCAAAUCCUGUCGGGGCCG
rnacentral:tRNA from 1 species